rnacentral:rRNA from 1 species
AACAGGAUUAGAUACCCUGGUAGUCCACGCCCUAAACGAUGUCUACUAGUUGUCGGGUUUUAAUUAACUUGGUAACGCAGCUAACGCGUGAAGUAGACCGCCUGGGGAGUACGGUCGCAAGAUUAAAACUCAAAGGAAUUGACGGGGACCCGCACAAGCGGUGGAUGAUGUGGAUUAAUUCGAUGCAACGCGAAAAACCUUACCUACCCUUGACAUGGACGGAAGCCCGGAGAGAUUUGGGCGUGCUCGAAAGAGAGCCGUCACACAGGUGCUGCAUGGCUGUCGUCAGCUCGUGUCGUGAGAUGUUGGGUUAAGUCCCGCAACGAGCGCAACCCUUGUCAUUAGUUGCUACGAAAGAGCACUCUAAUGAGACUGCCGGUGACAAACCGGAGGAAGGUGGGGAUGACGUCAAGUCCUCAUGGCCCUUAUGGGUAGGGCUUCACACGUCAUACAAUGGUACAUACAGAGGGCCGCCAACCCGCGAGGGGGAGCUAAUCCCAGAAAGUGUAUCGUAGUCCGGAUUGUAGUCUGCAACUCGACUACAUGAAGUUGGAAUCGCUAGUAAUCGCGGAUCAGCAUGUCGCGGUGAAUACGUUCCCGGGUCUUGUACACACCGCCCGUCACACCAUGGGAGCGGGUUUUACCAGAAGUAGGUAGCUUAACCGCAAGGAGGGCGCUUACCACGGUAGGAUUCGUGACUGGGGUGAAGUCGUAACAAGGUAACC